GCGCCCGUAGCUUAGCGGAUAAAGCGCAAGGUUGCGGACCUUGAGACCGCUGGUUCGAUUCCUGCCGGGCGCA
rnacentral:tRNA from 1 species